ensembl:lncRNA
GGUUUAGAGGGGAUUUUGGGGUGGUUUUGGGGUGGAAAAUGGGGAUUCUGGGGUAGGAAAAUGGCGGUUUGGGGGGGUUUUGGGGUGGAAAAUGGGGGCUGUGGGGGUUUGGAGGGGAUUUUGGGGUGGUUUUGGGGUGGAAAAUGGGGCUUUUGAGGGGAUUUUGGGGUGAAAAAUGGGGGUUUGGGGAGUUUUUGAGGGGAUGGGGGGUGAAAAAUGGGGGUUUAGAGGGGAUUUUGGGGUGAAAAAUGGGGGUUUGAGGCAUUAAAACAGUGGGUUCGGUGAACAAAAACCACCACUUUUCAGACUCAGAAAUGGGUGAAGAAAAGGCAAUUUGGGGUCAAUGUGAAAUUGAGAAUAGAAGUUUUAAUUUAAGUUAAAUCCGGAGUUCAUUCCGGGGCAGAAAACCCUCAAAAUGACCCCCAAAAUACCCCCAAAAUCCUCAGGUUUGGGGUUGGGGGGAGGGGGGGGGGGAGGAUAUAGGGGAUAUAUUGGGGUGGGGGGCACAGAAUUGAGACCCCCCCCAACCCCAUAAUGGGGUUGAAUGGGGCGGCUCCAACCCAAGCGGUUCUCAUGGCUGCCCCCAACCGGGUGGGGGGACUUUGGGGGGGGAAAACACCCCAAAAGUGCCCAAUUUUGGGGUUUUUUGACCCAUUUUGGCCAAUGAAAGAUGGGAGACCCAACUGGUGGUGAUUUGGGGGGAAAACGCACCUCAAAAGUGCCCAAAUUUGGGGUUUUUGGACCCAUUUUGGCCAAUGAAAGAUGGGAGACCCAACUGGUGGUGAUUUGGGGGGAAAACACACCUCAAAAGUGCCCCAAUUUGGGGUUUUUGGACCCAUUUUGGCCAAUGAAAGAUGGUAGAGCCAACCAGUUGUGUUGGGAGAUCCAAUGUGUGGGGUUUGGGGGGAAAACACACCUCGAAAGUGCCCAAUUUUGGGGUUUUUUGACCCAUUUUGGCCAAUGAAAGAUGGUAGACCCAACUGGUGGUGUUGGGAGAUCCAAUGUUUGGGGUUUGGGGGGGAAAACACCCCAAAAGUGCCCAAAUUUGGGGUUUUUUGACCCAUUUUGGGCAAUGAAAGAUGGGAGACCCAACUGGUGGUGAUUUGGGGGGAAAACACACCUCAAAAGUGCCCAAUUUUGGGGUUUUUGGACCCAUUUUGGCCAACGGGAAGAAGGGAGACCCAACUGGUGGUGUUUGGGGGGAAAACACCCCUCAAAAGUGCCCAAAUUUGGGGUUUUUGGACCCAUUUUGGCCAAUGAAAGAUGGUAGACCCAUCCGGUUGUGUUGGGAGAUCCAAUGUUUGGGGUUUGGGGGGAAAACACACCCCAAAAGUGCCCAAAUUUGGGGUUUUUGGACCCAUUUUGGCCAACGGGAAGAUGGGAGACCCAACUGGUAGUGAUUUGGGGGGAAAAGAUACCCCAAAAGUGCCUAAACUUGGGGUUUUUGGACCCAUUUUGGCCAAUGAAAGAUGGUAGACCCAUCCGGUUGUGUUGGGAGAUCCAAUGUUUGGGGUUUGGGGGGAAAACACACCCCAAAAGUGCCCAAAUUUGGGGUUUUUGGACCCAUUUUGGCCAACGGGAAGAAGGGAGACCCAACUGGUAGUCAUGUGGGGGGAAAACACACCGCAAAAGUGCCCAAUUUUGGGGUUUUUGGACCCAUUUUGGCCAAUGAAAGAUGGGAGACCCAACCGGUGGUGAUUUGGGGGGAAAACAUACCUCAAAAGUGCCUAAAUUUGGGGUUUUUGGACCCAUUUUGGCCAAUGAAAGAUGGGAGACCCAACCGGUGGUGUUGGGAGAUCCAAUGUGUGGGGUUUGGGGGGGAAAACACCUCAAAAGUGCCAAAUUUGGGGUUUUUUGACACAUUUUGGCCAACGGGAAGAAGGGAGACCCAACUGGUGGUGUUUGGGGGGAAAACACACCCCAAAAGUCCCCAAAUUUGGGGUUUUUGGACCCAUUUUGGCCAAUGAAAGAUGGUAGACCCAACUGGUGGUGUUGGAAACCCAACUGGUGGUGAUUUGGGAGGAAAACACACCCCAAAAGUGCCCAAUUUUGGGGUUUUUGGACCCAUUUUGGCCAACGGGAAGAAGGGAGACCCAACUGGUGGUGUUUGGGGGGAAAACACCCCUCAAAAGUGCCCAAAUUUGGGGUUUUUGGACCCAUUUUGGCCAAUGAAAGAUGGUAGACCCAUCCGGUUGUGUUGGGAGAUCCAAUGUUUGGGGUUUGGGGGGAAAACACAUCCUUAAAAGUGCCCAAAUUUAGGGCUUUUUGACCCAUUUUGGCCAACAAGAAGAUGGGAGACCCAACUGGUCGUGUUUGGGGGGAAAACACACCCCAAAAGUGCCCAAUUUUGGGAUUUUUUGACCCAUUUUGGCCAACGGGAAGAAAGGAGACCCAACUGGUGGUGAUUGGGGGGAAAACACACCUCAAAAGUGCCCCAAUUUGGGGUUUUUGGACCCAUUUUGGCCAAUGAAAGAUGGUAGACCCAUCCGGUUGUGUUGGGAGAUCCAAUCUUUGGGGUUUGGGGGGAAAAGAUACCCCAAAAGUGCCCAAAUUUGGGGUUUUUGGACCCAUUUUGACCAACGGGAAGUAGGGAGACCCAACUGGUGGUGAUUUGGGGGGAAAACACACCCCAAAAGUGCCCAAUUUUGGGGUUUUUGGACCCAUUUUGGCCAACGGGAAGAAGGGAGACCCAACUGGUAGUCAUGUGGGGGGAAAACACAUCGCAAAAGUGCCCCAUUUUGGGGUUUUUGGACCCAUUUUGGCCAACGGGAAGAAAGUAGACCCAACUGGUGGUAUUUGGGGGGAAAACACACCUCAAAAGUGCCCAAUUUUGGGGUUUUUUGACCCAUUUUGGCCAACGGGAAGAAAGAAGACCCAACCGACAUCAUUUUGGUGGCAAACACACCUCAAAAGUGCCCAAAUUUGGGUUUUUUUGCCCCAUUUUGGCCACGGAAGAGACCACGACACCCAACCGACGUCGUUUUGGUGCCAAACCCACCCCAAAAGCCCCCAAUUUUGGCCUUUUUCACCCCAUUUUAGGCCUACCGGAACUCCAACACCGCCCGUAGAGCGUUGGCCAACCUUCCUCCCCCAUUGAGGGCACCGAGGGCCUCGUGUCCGUCUGUCCAUCCCUCCACCUGUCCAUCUGUCCAUCCAUCUGUCCAUUCAUCCAUCCAUGCAUCCAUCCCUCCAU